GAGAGUAUAGCUUAGCAGUAGAGCCUGUGCUCAGCAUGCACGAGGUCCUGGGUUCAAUCCCCAGCACCUCCA
rnacentral:tRNA from 1 species